rnacentral:rRNA from 1 species
CUCAGUACCUGCAGGAAGGGAUACUCCGUGAGUAGUGGCGAGCGAAAGCGGAUGAUGGCCAAACCUUGCGCGUGUGAUACCCGUCGGGGGUUGCGCGCGGGGUGUUGCGGGAUCGCGUGCGCCGGCUCCGACGGGCCGGCCGGCAGUUGCAGAAAACCAUGUGUCAGGGGAACCGGGUUGAAUACCGGGCCGCAGAGGGUGAGGGCCCCGUACCUGAACGCGCAUGGUCUGCCGAUCGCGUCUCCCAAGUAGCACGGGUCCCGUGGAACCCCGUGCGAAUCCGCCCAGACCGUUGGGUAAGCCUGAAUAUUCCUGUCUGACCGAUAGCGAACGAGUACCGUGAG